UGCAGUCGAGCGGACAGAUGGGAGCUUGCUCCCUGAUGUUAGCGGCGGACGGGUGAGUAACACGUGGGUAACCUGCCUGUAAGACUGGGAUAACUCCGGGAAACCGGGGCUAAUACCGGAUGCUUGUUUGAACCGCAUGGUUCAAACAUAAAAGGUGGCUUCGGCUACCACUUACAGAUGGACCCGCGGCGCAUUAGCUAGUUGGUGAGGUAAUGGCUCACCAAGGCGACGAUGCGUAGCCGACCUGAGAGGGUGAUCGGCCACACUGGGACUGAGACACGGCCCAGACUCCUACGGGAGGCAGCAGUAGGGAAUCUUCCGCAAUGGACGAAAGUCUGACGGAGCAACGCCGCGUGAGUGAUGAAGGUUUUCGGAUCGUAAAGCUCUGUUGUUAGGGAAGAACAAGUACCGUUCGAAUAGGGCGGUACCUUGACGGUACCUAACC
rnacentral:rRNA from 1 species